CAAGUGGGUCAGACAGUCGCUGUUCGGUACACUGUACCGAAUGGAGGAAAGUCCGGGCUCCAUAGAGCAGGGUGCCAGGUAACGCCUGGGUGGCGCAAGCCAACGGAAAGUGCCGCAGAAAACAGACCGCCUGGUCGAAGGCCAGGCAAGGGUGAAAAGGUGCGGUAAGAGCGCACCGCAUGACUGGUAACAGACAUGGCAGGGUAAACCCCACCCGGAGCAAGAUCAAAUAGGGAAACAGGGGUGUGGCUCGCACCGUUUCCGGGUAGAUCGCUUGAACCUUGUGGUGACACAAGGUCCAGAGGAAUGACUGUCCACGACAGAACCCGGCUUAUCGACCCACUUGAUGU
rnacentral:RNase_P_RNA from 1 species